rnacentral:rRNA from 1 species
GAUGAACGCUGGCGGCGUGCCUAAUACAUGCAAGUCGAGCGAACUGAUUAGAAGCUUGCUUCUAUGACGUUAGCGGCGGACGGGUGAGUAACACGUGGGCAACCUGCCUGUAAGACUGGGAUAACUUCGGGAAACCGAAGCUAAUACCGGAUAGGAUCUUCUCCUUCAUGGGAGAUGAUUGAAAGAUGGUUUCGGCUAUCACUUACAGAUGGGCCCGCGGUGCAUUAGCUAGUUGGUGAGGUAACGGCUCACCAAGGCAACGAUGCAUAGCCGACCUGAGAGGGUGAUCGGCCACACUGGGACUGAGACACGGCCCAGACUCCUACGGGGGGCAGCAGUAGAGAAUCUUCCGCAAUGGACGGAAGUCUGACGGAGCAACGCCGCGUGAGUGAUGAAGGCUUUCGGGUCGUAAAACUCUGUUGUUAGGGAAGAACAAGUACGAGAGUAACUGCUCGUACCUUGACGGCACCUUAUUAGAAAGCCACGGCUAACUACGUGCCAGCAGCCGCGGUAACAC